UGAGGCAGGAGAAUUGCUUGAACCCAGGAGGUGGAGGCUGCAGUGAGCCGAGAUCUUGCCGCUGCACUCCAGCCUGGGCGACAGAGUGAGACUCUGUCUC
rnacentral:miRNA from 1 species